UGCAACGCGAAGAACCUUACCUGGGUUUGACAUAUACCGGAAACAUCUGGAGACAGGUGCCCCGCAAGGUCGGUAUACAGGUGGUGCAUGGCUGUCGUCAGCUCGUGUCGUGAGAUGUUGGGUUAAGUCCCGCAACGAGCGCAACCCUCGUUCUAUGUUGCCAGCGGUUCGGCCGGGAACUCAUAAAAAACUGCCGGGGUCAACUCGGAAGAAGAA
rnacentral:rRNA from 1 species